GACGAACUCCUGCUCCCUGAGACGCUAGAAGAUUCUAAACUUAAACUUCGCUUCGCUAGAACUUUACUUAACUCACGAACGAUGUGUUUCAGGACCUGCUGCUGCUGCACAUUUGUCGUGAUUGGCUGGUUGAUCCCCAGGUGGAAGAUGAUCAGGAUGUCACUGGACAAAGAGACCCUCCUUCCUCUCGAGGCGGCCAUCACAGUCAGCCCCGCCUUCUCCUCCACUGUCAGCCUAUCAGAGCAGCCGCCACUGACUAAGACCCACCCCUUCAUCCGCCCUAAAAACGGCCUCCAGCAGCCUGCAGGUGGCCAGCCCCCCCUCCCCUCUCAGCGAAUCGGGAAGAGGCGUUACUCGACGGGCGUCGGCUUCAAGGGCCCGGCAAAGCGCCGUCGCCGUGCCAACAGUGACAGCCAAUCAGAGCCCGUUCUGCCAAGUCACUUCCUGUUGGGAGGAAAUAUCUUCGACCCCCUGAACCUGAACUCUCUGCUGGAUGAAGACGUGAACAGAGCGACCAAUCAGGAGACUCCAAAGUGCUCGCCCCUGCCUUUGCGGGGCGGAGACCCUGUAGAGAUCCUGGUUCCCUGUGACAUCACCGAUCCCCUGAACCUGAAGGGAGGUGGGGAGGAAAGGGAGGGAGCGGGGGGAGUUCUGCUGUCCCCCCUGAAGUCCAGGAAGAGGCACCGGAACCGACACCAUCGAGUCCCAGCAGACCGGGACGUGGUACCGGCCCGACUGUUCCCCCCCACAGCUGGACUCACAGUUCCCCUGUUGGCCAGAGAUGGCAGUGUUCCUGCGUCUCCUCUCCCCUGUGAACUCAACACGGCCAUCACUUGCAGAGAUGAUGUAGCCACACCCCCUAUCCUACCCAGAAGGCACACCCAUCCUCCACCUUGCCUCGCCCACAAGCCUGGGAACCAGGGUGACAGUCGUCAUCGGAGACGGCGGCGCACCACCUCAGUGAGGUCAUCAGAUGGCACUGCAGGCGCUGUCACCAUGGCAGCCACGGCUCAGCCAACCAAAUUCCAGACACCGCUGGUAGGAGGGGCUAAAGCUGGCAGGUGUGGACCACAGCCCCGCUCUGCUCGGCCACCAGAAAGGAUCAAAGACAAACAGCGCUACCAGCAUGGCAGCCAUAGCCGUUACUAUGGUUACCACGGCUUCUAUGGCGACAGGUUGGAGGGGCGAGUUGGGGAGGAGAAGGACCCUCGGAUAGGACUCCUGGAAGCUGAUUGGUUCAGAGACAAGACGGUGUUGGACGUGGGCUGCGGGGCGGGUCACAUGACCCUGACCAUAGCUCGGAUGUUCAACCCCGCCCACAUCCUGGGGGUGGAGCUCGACCAGCGGCUGGUUAAAGCCGCCAAGCAGAACAUCCGGCACUUCAUGUCACAUGACAUGGUGGUGGAGGAGAGGAAGAGGGCAAAGGUAGCGCUGCCUCCUGAUCUGCAGGGAGGGAGGGAACAGGAAGUGAUGCGGGAGGCCUUCCUGUCCCUCCCCCUGUCAUUCAGGGUGAGUCGGGGUCCUCUCUGUGCUCCUCCUCUCCUGCCUCCACGCUCCUCCUCCUCCAGGUUUCCAGACAACGUCACCUUCAUCCAGGGCGACUACGUGUCUGAGCUGGAGCCGUGGCCUGGGCGGGGUCGCUAUGAUGUCAUUAUGUGUCUGAGUGUGACCAAGUGGGUGCAGCUGCAAUCAGGUGACGGGGGCGUGGUCAGACUGUUUAGACGGGCCUAUCAGAGCUUGUCGUCGGGCGGAUUAUUCAUCCUGGAGCCGCAGGCAUGGAGCAGCUACUACCGCAGCAAGAGGGCCUCGGACACAACGUUUCGUCACUUCAGGAGUUUGAGGCUCAGACCUGAACAGUUCACCUCCUUCCUGACCGACAGCGUGGGCUUCAGCUCCUACAGAAUGCUCAAACACACAGGUAGACAGGAAGUAGACCACCCCGUGUACAGGUAGACAGGAAGUAGACUACCCCGUGUACAGGUAGACAGGAAGUAGACCACCCCAUGUACAGGUAGACAGGAAGUAGACCACCCCAUGUACAGGUAGACAGGACGUAGGCUACCCCAUGUACAGGUAGACAGGAAGUAGACCACCCCAUGUACAGGUAGACAGGACGUAGACUACCCCAUGUACAGGUAGACAGGAAGUAGACCACCCCAUGUACAGGUCGACAGGACGUAGACUACCCCAUGUACAGGUAGACAGGAAGUAGACCACCCCAUGUAAAAGGAGACAGGACGUAGGCCAUCCCAUGUACAGGUAGACAGGACGUGGACCGCCCCAUGUACAGGUAGACAGGACGUAGACUACCCCAUGUUUACUGUCUGGACUUCAUAGUGUGUUAAACCUGAAAUAGAACCAGCCUGGAUAGAAGACCACCUCUAAUGCAGUCUGCGCGAAUGGGCACAAUUUAUUACUGGAUCGUGGACCAGUAAACAGUAAUUUUUUACUCGACUGAAACAGUUUUUACUGGACCGAAUAUUUUAUGCAUACCAUACCAUGGAUUAUGGUAUUACAUACCAUAAUCCAUGAAAUAACCUACCAUACUCUCAUAGCAACAGCCAAAUCUUGCUCAGAAUCCACCCUCUCUCAUUGUACACCUGGUAAAUUACCAUCUACAUGCACUGUCACCGUCACUACACCCUCCCACACCAUGCUACCAUACCACCAUCCACUUUUACCAUUGAAUUACUCACCAUACACGUCCAAUUUGACCAGAAAAACAGCUCUCAGCUUUGUUUUGGCGCUACUUUCACACGCUCCUGCAGAAACUUGAAUUUGUACUCAGGGAUGGGAAUUUUCCGCGGAUCCGCGGAUUUCCUUUCAAGUUUGAACACUUUAUUGUCGCUGAUACUCCCGCGAGAUGGUAACGACGUUAACUAUAGCUUGCUAACGACGUUAACAAGCUGUCGUUCGAUUGUAAACGGCCCAGAAGUCGCUGCGCCGCCGCCGCACACAUCACAUCACCCACCCACCCCCGUCAACGACUUUCCGCUGGAAUCAGAACUUGCUGAUCCCAUCCCUGUGUACUUGUAACUGGAAAUCACUCUGUGCGCGCCGGGAAUCAUGACGUGAUCAUGUGACAUAACGUCAUCAUACAAAAUUGCUGUCCCCCGAUGUUGCAUUAUCCCUUGGUGAUUCUCGGCAACUUUAGGGUGAUUUACAGGAAAAAAAAUACACCAGACAUGAGACCGGUAAUGUAGUAAGUUUUACCGGACUUUUGGUACACAAAUCGGAUUUGACCGAUGGUCCGACGUCAUUGGCGCACACUGCUAAUGUAAGACCACCUCGACUAUAAGACCACCAAGCUGAAUUUAUGUGUUUUUGUCCCUGAACU